GAUGAAGAACGCAGCGAAAUGCGAUAAGUAGUGUGAAUUGCAGAAUUCAGUGAAUCAUCGAAUCUUUGAACGCACAUUGCGCCCUUUGGUAUUCCAAAGGGCAUGCCUGUUCGAGCGUCAUUUGUACCCUCAAGCUUUGCUUGGUGUUGGGCGUCUUGUCUCUAGCUUUGCUGGAGACUCACCUUAAAGUAAUUGGCAGCCGGCCUACUGGUUUCGGAGCGCAGCACAAGUCGCACUCUCUAUCAGCAAAGGUCUAGCAUCCAUUAAGCCUUUUUUUCAACUUUUGACCUCGGAUCAGGUAGGGAUACCCGCUGAACUUAAGCAUAUCAAUAAGCGGAGGA
rnacentral:misc_RNA from 1 species